rnacentral:tRNA from 1 species
GGCUUGGUAGCUCAGCUGGUUAGAGUGCUGGCCUGUCACGCCAGAGGUCGAGGGUUCGAUCCCCUUCCUAUAUA